GGCUGAUCCAAUGGUAUUGAGUUAUCAGAACUUGACUAACAUUAGUGUCACUGAAGUUGGUAUUCAACCCCCAACUGCUAAAUUUGAAUGGCUAAAA
rnacentral:Y_RNA from 1 species